CGCUGACGAGUGGCGGACGGGUGAGUAAUGUCUGGGAAACUGCCUGAUGGAGGGGGAUAACUACUGGAAACGGUAGCUAAUACCGCAUAACGUCGCAAGACCAAAGAGGGGGACCUUCGGGCCUCUUGCCAUCGGAUGUGCCCAGAUGGGAUUAGCUAGUAGGUGGGGUAACGGCUCACCUAGGCGACGAUCCCUAGCUGGUCUGAGAGGAUGACCAGCCACACUGGAACUGAGACACGGUCCAGACUCCUACGGGAGGCAGCAGUGGGGAAUAUUGCACAAUGGGCGCAAGCCUGAUGCAGCCAUGCCGCGUGUAUGAAGAAGGCCUUCGGGUUGUAAAGUACUUUCAGCGGGGAGGAAGGGAGUAAAGUUAAUACCUUUGCUCAUUGACGUUACCCGCAGAAGAAGCACCGGCUAACUCCGUGCCAGCAGCCGCGGUAAUACGGAGGGUGCAAGCGUUAAUCGGAAUUACUGGGCGUAAAGCGCACGCAGGCGGUUUG
rnacentral:rRNA from 1 species